UUUUUUUUUUUUUUUGAGAUGGGGUUUUGCUAUAUUGCCCAGUCUGGUCUCAAACUCCUGGGGUCAAGUGAUCUGUCCACCUUGGCCUCCCAAAUUGCUAGGAUUGCAGGCAUGAGCCACCGUGUGCAGCCUGCCUCUGUCCUUCCGAAAAAAAGGAAACAUCAAAGGCAUCUGGAAAAAUUAAACAUAUUUAAAGAAAAGGCUAUAAAUACUUCCAUAUGCAUGUUGAUUCAUGUAUUAGUUUCCUAGCACUGCUGUAACAACCAUAACCAAGUGGCAUUGGUGGUAUAGUAGCGAGCAUAGUUGCCUUCCAAAUAAUCAUAACUUUGGUGGUUUUUUUUUUUUUUUUUGAAACACUUUCGUUCUUGUAGCCCAGGCUGGUGUGCAGUGGCGUGAUCUUGGCUCACUGCAACCUCCUUCUCCCAGGUUCAAGUGAUUCUCCUGCCUCAACCUCUCGAGUAGCUGGGAUCACAGGUGCCUGCCACCACACUCGGCUAAUUUUUGUAUUUUUAGUAGAGACGGGGUUUCACCAUGUUAGCCAGGCUGGUCUCGAAAGACUGACUUCAGGUGAUCCACCCUGUUGGGGUGAUCAGACCCUAACACCAGGCUGUGUGGGCAAUGAAGUCCGGUGGAAUCAAAGGAAUGAGACAAGACAAGUUAAGAGUGAAAGUGGGAGUGGGGACCAACGCUAGUAUGGAGGCUGUGAAGGCCCCGAGCUCUGGGAGCCCACGCUAUUUAUUGGUGAUCAAAGAAGCAGGUGGUGAGGGUGUGGGGGUUGAAAGAAAACAGUGCAUCAGGCACAUGAUCUACAGCUGUGACGGUUUAGCAUUUUCUUUGCAGCAUAUGGAACAUGUUCUGCUACUUGAGAUAAUGGGAGCCUGUAAGCAAGGAGCCAGCAAGUCUAGACACAUUCCAGAGGCCACGAAGGGUUUUAUGCCCUGGGCUUAGAUUGUGGUGUGGCAGGGCAGCCUUCCACCCUUUAGCACAGAGCUUGGUGUUCCAAAGGCAACGAGGGAUUUUAGACCCUGGACCCCGGACAUGUUCCAAGACUCUUUUACAUUAUGUCAGACAUGCAAACCCUGCCUCAGCUUUUUUCCCAACACUCAGCUUUUACCCAACAUAUCCGCCUCAGCCUCAGUCUCCCAAAAGAGCUGGGAUGACAGGCGGGACCCACCGCGCCCAGUCCCACUUCAGUGGUUUAAAAGAGCAGAUAUUUUCUGUCUCACAGUUCUGGAGGCAGGAAGUCUACAAUCAAGGUAUCAGCAGGGAUAUACCUUAGGGGAGGAACCUUCCCUGCCUCUCCCAGCUUCCGGUGGCUCCAAGUGUCCCUUGGCUUGUGGCUGCAUCACUCCCAUCUCUGUCUCCAUCUUUACAUGGGCUUCUGCUCGGUGUGUCUCUCCUCCAUGUGUCUCUUAUAAAAAUACUUGUCAUUGGAUAUAGGGCCCACCUGUAUAAUCCAGGGUGCGCUCAUCUCAAGAUCCUUAACUUAAUUAGACAAGUCUGGGAGGCAUGGUGGCUCACGCC
rnacentral:lncRNA from 1 species